GAUGAACGCUGACAGAAUGCUUAACACAUGCAAGUCAACUUGAACUUCGGUUUGGGUGGCGGACGGGUGAGUAACGCGUAAAGAACUUGCCUCACAGCUAGGGACAACAUUUGGAAACGAAUGCUAAUACCUGAUAUUAUGAUUUUAGGGCAUCCUAGAAUUAUGAAAGCUAUAUGCGCUGUGAGAGAGCUUUGCGUCCCAUUAGCUAGUUGGAGAGGUAACGGCUCACCAAGGCGAUGAUGGGUAGCCGGCCUGAGAGGGUGAACGGCCACAAGGGGACUGAGACACGGCCCUUACUCCUACGGGAGGCAGGAGUGGGGAAUAUUGGACAAUGGACCAAGAGUCUGAUCCAGCAAUUCGGUGUGCACGAUGAAGUUUUUCGGAAUGUAAAGUGCUUUCAGUUGGGAAGAAAAAAAUGACGGUACCAACAGAAGAAGUGACGGCUAAAUACGUG
rnacentral:rRNA from 1 species